rnacentral:rRNA from 1 species
GACGAACGCUGGCGGCGUGCUUAACACAUGCAAGUCGAGCGGUAAGGCCCUUUCGGGGGUACACGAGCGGCGAACGGGUGAGUAACACGUGGGUGACCUGCCCUCAGCUCUGGGAUAAGCCUGGGAAACCGGGUCUAAUACUGGAUAUGACUCCAUGACGCAUGUUGUGGGGUGGAAAGCCUUGUGCGGCUGAGGAUGGGCCCGCGGCCUAUCAGCUUGUUGGUGGGGUGANGGCCUACCAAGGCGACGACGGGUAGCCGGCCUGAGAGGGCGACCGGCCACACUGGGACUGAGACACGGCCCAGACUCCUACGGGAGGUAGCAGUGGGGAAUCUUGCGCAAUGGGCGAAAGCCUGACGCAGCGACGCCGCGUGAGGGAUGACGGCCU